AGGUUGCGAGGCGGCCCGUUGUGCGUGGUGGCGGGAUGUGGAGGUGCGGGGCGAGGAGGCCGCCCCCGCUGCCGCUGACGCUGGCCCCCGUAGUAGGAGGGGGAAGGGCCUAGAGCAGAGACGGAGUUUCGAAGUCAGUGAAGGCCGCUUCUGCUGCCGGUCUCCAGUAGGAGGAGAAAGAGUGGUUCCAAUAGGGGACGAGGAGGAGAAGGUGAGUGGUAAAAAGAAGCGGUACCACUAAAGAAAAAGACGAUGUGUUUGACUGCUCGCGGACAUGUCUAUCUGCCUGGAGGAGAGGACAGACUCUAAACAUGGGUUCACUCGUCGACAUGACUUCUCGUAGCUUACGAAACUUCACGAGAUAGAUAGGACUGUAGUGUUCACGAGACUGUAAUCUUCAACCGAAAUAGGCUUCUGAAACACAAGUUAACGAACCACGGAAAACUAAGCAGCUAGUAACUCUUCAAAAGUGAGCCUCGUUCUUUCCAUACACUGCGUCAGUAGGGAAACUGUACCGGUGACUCGUUCGAAUUUAAUACGUUUUGAUGACGAGAACACUACAACAAAAAGAGACGGAUCAUAACUUUCACCAGAAUAAAAUCAUAUACUCUUUUGACUACGAGAAUUAAUACAUGAAUCUACAAUGUUAUCUUUACCAUAAUAGAAACAUAAGUGAGGACUCGAAGGAUCCGAGGAUCGAUAACCAAGAAACGUCGGUAUUAUCUCUACCAUAAUAAUAACGAAAUAAAUAUUAAUAAUAGCAACAUAAUUAAAACAAAAGUAACCCAUAUUAUCACUACCUAAGAUCCUCUUUAUUUUAAUAAUUCUAAUAGAGCGUUCUUGUUCUUCUUCUGCUACUUGAUAAAAAGAAAAACCAAGGGCGAAAUAUACGAAGGGAAAUACUCCUUUUCGUAGGUCAAGUGUGUAGUAGAAAUAGACCUCGACGUUUCCAAUUCCUUUAUAAUCUUCCGGUGCUCUCAACCAGAUCCCAACUCAAAGCCUACCUUGGACUCUAAAAGUUCAGAUAGCACCUAAUGGAAUCUUCUCUCUUAGAUAACUUCCCGUGUAGCGCACAACGACAGUUCCUCGUCAACCGUUACAAGUACAUGUACUAAAGCGUGUUACGAUCAUUAGUUCUAGAUGUUUUUAUGAAGGUUGUGUCGCGUCUUUGUUAAGUAUCCUUCUAUUUGUCCUAAAAACUGAAUUAAGGUUGAGAUCGGGUUUCUAAAUAUUUCUAAGGUUCAAGUGAGGUCGGGGUGGGCUUCUAACAAAGCUUGUUGGCGAUAACU
rnacentral:rRNA from 1 species